AAUUACCCCUUGGGAAAACUUAAGAAACUGGUCUGAACUCCUCUGUAAUUAAAACCAUCUAGAUAAUGUAAACAAUUGUCUCGUAAGCAUUUCGCACUGGAAACUUUCUGCAACUACUUAUUCUGUGGACUGGCUUUGUAUUUGCCAAGCUCCUCAAUGCAUUUUAAGCUCAUUAAGGCUUAGCUCCUGCCAAGGACUUUCUGUUUCAAGUCAUCCAGUGCUCACAGGUGGCAGUUCUGGUUGGAGGCUGGAACUAUAACCUUGUGAAGUAUUCACAGCUGAGGGGGCAGCAUAUCACAUGUCUGCGGCCCCCAGCAGCACCUGAAGUGGCAGCAAGAGAGGGGCAGCAGGACUUUUCAGAGGCCCCUGAAACUCCAGAUGAAACUACUGGAGAAAGAACUGGAGAUGUAGUACUGGGGGGAAAUCAGCAUGUGGAGUGUUGGGGGCUUGGUAUGCAUAUACAUGAAAAGCCAGGGCACCAGCUGUAAUUAAAGUCAGCUGCUUGCUACUCUGUUUUGUUAAAGACCCUGCCUUGUUUCCUGGCCCCAUUUUUUUUUCUAACACAUCCUUCCAAAAAUGUUAGCAAAAUGGUUAAUCAAAAGUCUCUUAAUCUCAGUUAGACUUCUGAUCUAGAGUAAUAAACUUUAUGAUUACAGGAAACUACAAAUACUUUUGCAAGUAUCUUUUUCUAAGUGAAAAAGUACUUUUCAUAUGAAAUAACUUGUAAGUACUUUUAUCACAUGAAAUAACAGGUGCUUUUUUUUUUUUUUUUUUUUUUUUUUUUUUUUUUUUUUUUUUUUUUUUUUGACAAGUGGGCUCAGUGAUUCUGGGAAAUCAGAAUCACUGAGAAUCUGCUUUUACUCCAGAGUGUAAUUGGUCACAGUAUUUCUUUAUAGGAUGUGUUCUGAAUACAUGUUCUAGAUAUCAGCUACUUGGCACUAAACCAUGAAAGUUCAGGUGGUUUUCUUCCAGCUUCCCUGCCCUUCCCCUCCCAACAGGAGAACAAACCACACUGUUAACUGUAGAGACUGAGAUGUACUGAUGGUGACUUGCUGAGCUUAUUUAAUAGAUCAUGAGCUAAUAAAUAAUAUUGUGCUUGGAAAGGGAUUUGGCUUGUGUGGAGCAAGAGCUACUAGAUGAGGAAGAAAAACUGCAACAUUUGAGUAUCCCAUAUUUCAAGCCCUGAGUAAGGCAAGAGCCAGUGUAGGGGCAUGUGUGCAUGUGUGCUUUGUAGAGCACUGGUCACAAGAGAGCAGUGAAUAGAAAUUUCAAUUGCAUGGAAGUUCAGCCAGGUCAAUAUUCAGUAAUGAAUUUGAAUCUUUAUAAUAGGCAAACUGUUGGACUGAGAGACACUGUGUUGUGUGGUGAUUCAGUCCUGAAUCUGAAUGCAGCUGAGCUGUGGAGCCUCAGUUUGCCUGAUAUGUGAAGUAAAUGCAGUUUCCAGAAAUCACUGGUUGGUGGUCCAGAAGGUUAGUUCUUUGUUUACUCUCAGAAAACCUUCAGGAAAGGCCAACACAGAGAUUUCCUUGUGCAUUAUGUUGAGGCAUUCCCAUCUCAAAAAAUCCAACCAACCACCACCAGCACCAACAAAAAACAACCGGAAAGAAACCCUACCAGCUGACUUACCUAAUCAUGGCCAGGAGACACCUCACAGUUAUGAAGCCUCCUUCCAUGGACCAUCUUCUGAGGAUAUGGCAGGUGACACCAUAUUCUUAGCCUGAAGAGACCUGAGAACACACAGAUCUUUGCAUUCUAGGCUUUAGGCAAUGCAGACCUUGGUGGACUGGAGUUACUGUCACUAGCACAAGAUGUAAAAACCUAACUUUGCUUCUGAAAAAUUCAAUCCCAUCUAAUGUUUUUAAGCUAGUUUCAGCUAAAAAAAAAAAAAGGUUACCUUACCCCAUGCUCUA